GGCCCGAUGGUGUAGUGGUUACACAUCCUCUUUAAUUUGUCCAUGGUAAAAUGGCUUAUGAGGAAGUCUCUGGUUCGAAUCCGGGUUAGGCCA